rnacentral:rRNA from 1 species
CCAGCAGCUGCGGUAAUUCCAGCUCCAAUAGCGUAUAUUACAGUUGUUGCAGUUAAAAAGCUCGUAGUUGAAGUUCUGAUUGUUCAGGCUUUCAGCCUUUAGGCGAGAGUUCUGACAGUCAUCCGCUUGCAAGCAUAUGCUCGACCUUCAAAAGUCGACUAUGUGAGUAAGCAUUUUACCUUGAGAAAAACAGAGUGUUCCAGGCAGGUUUGUCCGGGAUGCAUUAGCAUGGAAUAAUAGAACAUGACUAAAGUCUUUUUAUUGGUUAUAGGCUAUAGUAAUGAUUAAUAGGAACAGUCGGGGGCAUUCGUACUCAGCAGUCAGAGGUGAAAUUCUAGGAUUUGCUGAAGACGAACUAAUGCGAAAGCAUUUGCCAAGGAUGUUUUCA